rnacentral:rRNA from 1 species
GACGAACGCUGGCGGCGUGCCUAAUACAUGCAAGUUGAGCGCUGAAGGUUGGUACUUGUACCAACUGGAUGAGCAGCGAACGGGUGAGUAACGCGUGGGGAAUCUGCCUUUGAGCGGGGGACAACAUUUGGAAACGAAUGCUAAUACCGCAUAAAAACUUUAAACACAAGUUUUAAGUUUGAAAGAUGCAAUUGCAUCACUCAAAGAUGAUCCCGCGUUGUAUUAGCUAGUUGGUGAGGUAAAGGCUCACCAAGGCGAUGAUACAUAGCCGACCUGAGAGGGUGGUCGGCCACAAUGGGACUGAGACACGGCCCAAACGCCUACGGGAAGCAGCAGUAGGGAAUCUUCGGCAAAGGACGAAAGGCUGAACGAGCAACGCCGCGGGAGUGGAGAAGGGUUUCGGAUCGGAAAACUCUGUUGGUAGGGAAGAAAGUUGGUGGGAGUGGAAAGCGCAUCAAGUGACGGUAACUACCCAGAAAGGGACGGCUAACUACGUG